CCUACGGGAGGCAGCAGUGGGGAAUAUUGCGCAAUGGGGGAAACCCUGACGCAGCAACGCCGCGUGAGUGAUGAAGGUCUUCGGAUCGUAAAGCUCUGUCGGCAGGAAAGCGGUACCUGCAAAGGAAGCACCGGCUAACUCUGUGCCAGCAGCCGCGGUAAUACAGAGGGUGCAAGCGUUGUUCGGAAUCAUUGGGCGUAAAGGGCGCGUAGGCGGUUCUGUAAGUCGAAUGUGAAAGCCCAGGGCUCAACCUUGGAAGUGCAUCCGAAACUGCAGAACUUGAAUCUCGGAGAGGGUGGUGGAAUUCCCAGUGUAGAGGUGAAAUUCGUAGAUAUUGGGAGGAACACCGGUGGCGAAGGCGACCGCCUGGACGAAAUUGACGCUGAGGCGCGAGAGCGUGGGGAGCAAACAGGAUUAGAUACCCUUGUAGUC
rnacentral:rRNA from 1 species